GACGAACGCUGGCGGCGUGCCUAAUACAUGCAAGUUGAGCGCUGAAGGUUGGUACUUGUCCCGACUGGAUGAGCAGCGAACGGGUGAGUAACGCGUGGGGAAUCUGCCUUUGAGCGGGGGACAACAUUUGGAAACGAAUGCUAAUACCGCAUAAAAACUUUAAACACAAGUUUUAAGUUUGAAAGAUGCAAUUGCAUCACUCAAAGAUGAUCCCGCGUUGUAUUAGCUAGUUGGUGAGGUAAAGGCUCACCAAGGCGAUGAUACAUAGCCGACCUGAGAGGGUGAUCGGCCACAUUGGGACUGAGACACGGCCCAAACUCCUACGGGAGGCAGCAGUAGGGAAUCGUCGGCAAUGGACGAAAGUCUGACCGAGAAACGCCGAGUGAGGGAAGAAGGUUUUCGGAUCGUAAAACUCUGUUGGUAGAGAAGAACGUUGGUGAGAGUGGAAAGCUCAUCAAGUGACGGUAACUACCCAGAAAGGGACGGCUAACUACGUG
rnacentral:rRNA from 1 species